UACGUAGGGGGCAAGCGUUGUCCGGAAUCAUUGGGCGUAAAGAGUGUGUAGGCGGCCCGAUAAGUCCGCUGUGAAAGUCCAGGGCUCAACCCUGGAAUGCCGGUGGAUACUGUCGGGCUCGAGUCCGGAAGAGGUGAGUGGAAUUCCUGGUGUAGCGGUGAAAUGCGCAGAUAUCAGGAGGAACACCGGUGGCGAAGGCGGAUCUCUGGGCCAUUACUGACGCUGAGGAGCGAAAGCGUGGGGAGCGAACAGG
rnacentral:rRNA from 1 species